rnacentral:rRNA from 1 species
CCUGAACGCUGGCGGCGUGGCUAAGACAUGCAAGUCGUACGGUGUAGCAAUACACAGUGGCGAACGGGAGAGUAAUGAAUCGCUAAUGUGCCCCGGACUCUGGGAUAGCUAUCCGAAAGGGUAGGUAAUACCAGAUGAUAUGCAGCUGUCGCAUGACAGUUGCCUCAAAGGUCCGCCGGUCUGGGAGCAGGCGAUUUCGUAUCAGCAGUUGGUGAGGUAACGGCUCACCAAGGCGACGACGCGUAGCCGGACUGAGAGGUUGGCCGGCCUCAUUGGGACUGAG